AUUUAAAAAAUUAUUAUUUAUUUUUAUUUAAUUUAAAUUUAUUAAAAUAUUAUAUUUUUAUUAAUUAAUUGAAAAAUUUUUUUUUAUUAUAGUAUAUUAGUAUAGAGAUAGAAUUUUUUAAAAUUUUUAAAAGAAAUUUAAAUUAUGUACCUUGUGUAUCAGGGUUUAUUAAAUAAAAUUUUUAUAUUAAAUUUUCUCGAAUUUAGAAGAGCUAAUUUUAUAUUUAUAUUAUUGUAAAAUAAAUAUUUAUAAUAUAAUAUUAGUAAUGAAACGUUAUUCGUUUCUAAAUAUAUCUAGUUUUUUAAGAAAAAAAUUUAAUUUUAUUAAUAAUUUUAAAUUUUAUUUUUUGUAUUAAAUUUAAAUUAUUAUUAAAUAAUUUUAGGGAUAAGCUUAAAAUUAAAUUUUUAUAAUUAAAUAAUGAUAUAAAAUAAAUGUAGAAUUAAUAAUUUUUAUCAAAAAGUUUUUUAUAAUUUAUAUUUUAUUAUAUAUAAUUUUUAUUUAAUUUAAUUUUUUUAUUAAAAUGAAUUAUUAAAUAAUUUAAUUUUUUUAAUAAUGAUAAAAUUAGUAUAAUUUAAAUUAUAUUAUUUUUUUAAAAAAAGGUAAUAUUAAGGAAUUCGGCAAAUAUAUUUUUCACCUGUUUAUUAAAAACAUCUCUUUUUGAAUAUAAUUUAAAGUAGGGCCUGCCCACUGAGUAUUUAAAGGGCCGCAGUAUCUUAACUGUGCAAAGGUAGCAUAAUCAUUAGUUUUUUAAUUGAAAGCUGGAAUGAAUGGUUUGAUGAGAAAAUAGCUGUCUCAAUAUUAAUUAUUUAAAACUUUAUUUUUAAGUUAAAAAGCUUAAAUUUUUAUAAAAGACGAGAAGACCCUAUAGAGUUUAAUUAAUUGAUAAAUUUUUUAUUUUAGAAUUAAUUAUAAAAAAUUUAUUUAUUAAUUUGAUUGGGGUGAUUAAAAAAUUUAGUUAACUUUUUUUAUAUUAUUACAUUAAUUUAUGAAUACUUGAUCCAUAAUAAUGAUUAAAAGAUUAAAUUACCUUAGGGAUAACAGCGUUAUUUUUUUUUAGAGUUCAUAUUAAAAAAAAAGUUUGCGACCUCGAUGUUGGAUUAAAGUUAAUUUUUGGUGCAGAAGCUAAAAAAUUGGGUCUGUUCGACCUUUAAAACUUUACAUGAUCUGAGUUUAAACCGGUGUGAGCCAGGUUGGUUUCUAUCUUUAUAAAAUUAAAAUAUUUUAGUACGAAAGGACCAAAUAUU
rnacentral:rRNA from 1 species